GUGGGAGGAGAAGGAGUUGGAAAAGGAGGAGGAAGAAGAGGAGACGGCCACAGAAGUUCACUUGUCCGUGUAACGGGAGUUGUUUAGAGAGAACACUACAAAUCUCACCCAUAUCCAGAUCAAUAGUAUGAUUUCUUAGGAAUCAAGAAUCAACAUUGGGUUAUUUCCGACUGUUAACCUUGAGAGCCCACUUGGACACUGCAGCAAGAAAGGAUAACCAUCCACCCACUUGGACAUGAAAAAUGAUCUUCGAUCAGGGAGUUCUCUCUCUUCAGCUAAACCACCAGAAAUAGAAGGAACACCAUUCUGACCAAACUCAUCCAGAUGAAUCAAGUCAACCCUUUUUAGCAAGGAGUGGAGCUGCAGAAGGGUGGCCAGGUCACUGUCUUCUGCUCGCACCAUCAUUGAGCAGCCUCCUCCAGAACUGCCACCUAGAGUGGUCCUCCCACUCACAUGUCAUUGUGUAUUGGGGUGUUACUGUGUCUUCCCAGGCAAUGUGGCUCUUUUUCUAAUUUGCACCAAGGCAUCUAUAUGGGCUAGUGCCAGCUCUGACUAUUCUGCCCCUAACCUGAGUCCUAUCCAGGAUUAUAUUCCUUACUUUGAAUGAAUUAGUAAUUCUGAAGUACAAAUUAGGUUUAUUGUGAAAGAUGAGAUAUUUGAUUUAAAUUGAAAAUGAGUUUCAUAAGUAAAGCUCAAAAUAUGCAAGUGAA